rnacentral:lncRNA from 1 species
GGCGUCGACUCUCAUGGAGACUUCAUCGAUUUUCUUUUUGGCCUUUUCUCUUGCUCUUUUGAGCAUCUUGGCUUUGAGCCUAGACUUCUUCGCCUCUUUGGCCAGCUCACAGGAACUUUCAAUGUUCCCGUUCAGGUAAUGGGCGAGCUGGUAAGCAAAGAAAAAUUCAUAAGUGAACAAUAAACAUACAGUAGGGGUGAAGUGAGAAAGUCCCAAUAUACCCAGAUGAGGCAAUCCACGGCUCCUUUACUCAUCUCCCUUCGAGCAACGUCC